rnacentral:rRNA from 1 species
AGAGGUGGCAAGCGUUGUUCGGAAUUACUGGGCGUAAAGGGCGCGUAGGCGGCCUUCUAAGUCAGACGUGAAAGCCCCAGGCUUAACCUGGGAACUGCGUCUGAUACUGGGAGGCUUGGAUUCGGGAGAGGGAUGUGGAAUUCCAGGUGUAGCGGUGAAAUGCGUAGAUAUCUGGAGGAACACCGGUGGCGAAGGCGGCAUCCUGGACCGAGAUCGACGCUGAGGCGCGAAAGCUAGGGGAGCAAACGGGAUUAGAUACCCCGGUAGUCCUAGCCCUAAACGAUGAAUGCUUGGUGUGGCGGGUAUCGAUCCCUGCCGUGCCGAAGCUAACGCAUUAAGCAUUCCGCCUGGGGAGUACGGUCGCAAGGCUG